UACGUAGGGUGCGAGCGUUGUCCGGAAUUAUUGGGCGUAAAGAGCUCGUAGGCGGUUUUGUCGCGUCGGGCCGUGAAAACUUGGGGCUUAACCCAGAGCCUGCAUUCAAUACUGGCAGGCUAGAGUUCUGGAGGGAUAGCGGAAUUCCUGGUGUAGCGGUGAAAUGCGUAGAUAUCAGGAGGAACACCGAUGGCGAAGGCAGCUCGCUGGGACGGUACUGACGCUGAGGCGCGAAAGCGUGGGAGCGAACAGG
rnacentral:rRNA from 1 species